GGCGUUUACCACGGUGUGGUUCAUGACUGGGGUGAAGUCGUAACAAGGUAGCCCUAGGGGAACCUGGGGCUGGAUCACCUCCUUACCUAAAGA
rnacentral:rRNA from 1 species